rnacentral:rRNA from 1 species
UACAGAGGGUGCGAGCGUUGUCCGGAAUCACUGGGCGUAAAGGGCGCGUAGGUGGCCCGGUCAGCGUGCGGUGAAAGCUCGGGGCUCAACCCCGAGUCGGCCGUGCGAACUGCUGGGCUCGAGCACUGUAGAGGCAGGCGGAAUUCCGGGUGUAGCGGUGGAAUGCGUAGAGAUCCGGAAGGACACCGGUGGCGAAGGCGGCUAGCUGGACAGUUACUGACACUCAACUACGAAAGCGUGGGGAGCGAACAGG